CCAGGACUUGCAGCAGUGGACUCGGCAGCCUGCCCAGGGAUUUCUACCUUCCCACAGACAUUUGGAAGAGUUGAUUGAUGUCUGUGAGAAGUGAGAGUCUUGCUUGGACCUGGACAAUACCCGAAACAUGAAGCAGCUAGCUCGAGCCAGCUUCCUUUUUCCAUAAGUUUGUCAUGCAGAAAACAGAAACAAUGCCAUGUGACCAGCUACACCGAGCAAGUACAUCCUCCUGGUUGUGAAGAUGAAGGGUCUCAUGUUUAGUGCACAGUUCCUCUUAUUCUCCACAACAAAUUCGGGGAGAAAAGCCUCCCAAAUGUUAGGCCAGCACUGGAGUGCAAAGGCCACUGCAAACACUGAAAGACAAAAAAACCGCCAAACAAUUUCCGGUUUUUCUCUCCACUUAUUCCUAACCCAUCGAAUCUGAUCAAACAGCAACAAAUAAGCUCUGAAGAGUCUUGCUUGGUAAGGUUUGACACUGUCACCAAGUUUCCCCAUGUUUACCAAAAUCAGUAGCCAGCAAACUGUGUCCAUAACCAUUUUUAUUUAGAAGCCCAUGG